rnacentral:rRNA from 1 species
UACGGAAGGCAGCAGUGGGGAAUAUUGCACAAUGGGCGCAAGCCUGAUGCAGCCAUGCCGCGUGUAUGAAGAAGGCCUUCGGGUUGUAAAGUACUUUCAGUCGUGAGGAAGGUGUUAAGGUUAAUAACCUUAGCAAUUGACGUUAGCGACAGAAGAAGCACCGGCUAACUCCGUGCCAGCAGCCGCGGUAAUACGGAGGGUGCGAGCGUUAAUCGGAAUUACUGGGCGUAAAGGGCACGCAGGCGGUUAAUUAAGUUGGAUGUGAAAUCCCCGGGCUUAACCUGGGAAUGGCAUUCAAGACUGGUUAGCUAGAGUCUUGUAGAGGGGGUAGAAUUCCAUGUGUAGCGGUGAAAUGCGUAGAGAUGUGGAGGAAUACCGGUAGCGAAGGCGGCCCCUGGACAAAGACUGACGCUCAUGUGCGAAAGCGUGGGGAGCAAACAGGGAUUAGAUACC